UUUUUUUUUGUUUGUUUUGAGAUGGAGUCUUGCCCUGUCACCCAGGCUGGAGUGCAAUGGUGCGAUCUCGGCUCACUGCAACCUCCGUCUCCCAGGGCGUUUUAGAGUCCCCGUUUCUACGUUCUAUGUGGCACCCUCUUGCCGAGGGAACAUCCAGAAUCCCUCCACUUCCUGUCUAGUUUGAGGCCUCAACACCUUCAUGAUCCAGAGUCCUGCGGCUAUGAGGGGGUGGGCCCACCACCGCCCAGCCCUCCUUGGUGGACGUGGGGACAGGUUUUGCUGAGAAACGGGAGUGCGUUCUGUGUCGGUGUUUGUGACGCCCUGAGACCCUGCUUGGCCUAGCUAAAGUCCAGAAGGCCUGGGCCCCACAGGGCUUGGAUGAGGGCUCAUGGGCCUGUACUUCAGGAGGCCUGAGAGGCCCGGUCAGUCCCAUGAGGCUACUCGGCUUGGCCCGCAGGUCCUCCGAGGCACAGGGCAGAGGGACACCCCAGGGACCCAUCAGACUCACGACACAGAGAAACUCAAGUGGGGUGCCAGGGCCGGCCACAGAGGCCACGGGCUUCCUGCCUGUGAGGAGCCGCCCUGUUUGUCUGAGCCCUUUGGAGAUUUAGGUUGAGUCAUGAGAACCGGUCAUUGGAACAUACACUUUAUUAUGUU
rnacentral:lncRNA from 10 species